rnacentral:rRNA from 1 species
CCGCAAGGGGAGCGGCAGACGGGUGAGUAACGCGUGGGAACGUACCAUUUGCUACGGAAUAACUCAGGGAAACUUGUGCUAAUACCGUAUGAGCCCGAAAGGGGAAAGAUUUAUCGGCAAAUGAUCGGCCCGCGUUGGAUUAGCUAGUUGGUGGGGUAAAGGCCUACCAAGGCGACGAUCCAUAGCUGGUCUGAGAGGAUGAUCAGCCACACUGGGACUGAGACACGGCCCAGACUCCUACGGGAGGCAGCAGUGGGGAAUAUUGGACAAUGGGCGCAAGCCUGAUCCAGCCAUGCCGCGUGAGUGAUGAAGGCCCUAGGGUUGUAAAGCUCUUUCACCGGUGAAGAUAAUGACGGUAACCGGAGAAGAAGCCCCGGCUAACUUCGUGCCAGCAGCCGCGGUAAUACGAAGGGGGCUAGCGUUGUUCGGAUUUACUGGGCGUAAAGCGCACGUAGGCGGGCUAAUAAGUCAGGGGUGAAAUCCCGGGGCUCAACCCCGGAACUGCCUUUGAUACUGUUAGUCUUGAGUAUGGUAGAGGUGAGUGGAAUUCCGAGUGUAGAGGUGAAAUUCGUAGAUAUUCGGAGGAACACCAGUGGCGAAGGCG